GACGAACGCUGGCGGCGUGCUUAACACAUGCAAGUCGAGCGGAAAGGCCACUUCGGUGGUACUCGAGCGGCGAACGGGUGAGUAACACGUGAGUAAUCUGCCCCUGGCUUUGGGAUAGCCACCGGAAACGGUGAUUAAUACCGGAUACGACAACUUCUCGCAUGGGAUGGUUGUGGAAAGUUUCUCGGCCAGGGAUGUGCUCGCGGCCUAUCAGCUUGAUGGUGAGGUAAUGGCUCACCAUGGCUUCGACGGGUAGCCGGCCUGAGAGGGUGACCGGUCACACUGGGACUGAGACACGGCCCAGACUCCUACGGGAGGCAGCAGUGGGGAAUAUUGGACAAUGGGCGGAAGCCUGAUCCAGCAACGCCGCGUGAGGGAUGACGGCCUUCGGGUUGUAAACCUCUUUCGCCUGUGACGAAGCGCAAGUGACGGUAACAGGUAAAGAAGCACCGGCCAACUACGUGCCAGCAGCCGCAGUAACAC
rnacentral:rRNA from 1 species